rnacentral:rRNA from 1 species
AUUGAACGCUGGCGGCAGGCCUAACACAUGCAAGUCGAACGAGUGGCGGACGGGUGAGCAAUGUCUGGGAACCUGCCUGACGGAGGGGGCUAACUACUGGAAACGGUAGCUAAUACUGCAUACCACCCGUUGUGCUCAGAUGGGAUUAGCUAGUUGGUGGGGUAACGGCUCACCAAGGCGACGAUCCCUAGCUGGUCUGAGAGGGUGACCAGCCACACUGGAACUGAGACACGGUCCAGACUCCUACGGGAGGCAGCAGUGGGGAAUAUUGCGCAAUGGGCGCAAGCCUGAUGCAGCCAUGCCGCGUGUAUGAAGAAGGCCUUCGGGUUGUAAAGUACUGUCAGCGGGGAGGCGUUACCCGAAGAAGAAGCACCGGCUAACUCCGUGCCAGCAGCCGCGGUAAUUC